rnacentral:piRNA from 1 species
UAAUAAGUUAUGUAAUGUACUCAGCAGGGA